rnacentral:lncRNA from 1 species
CACCAAACAAGAGGAAAAGUUUAGGAGGCUUAAUGUGUAGUCAUGCACAUUUAAAUAUUCAACAAUCCAACGACCUUUAACUCAACUAGUGAAAUCUAAACAUUUUCAAAUGAAGUUACAAAGAAGUAAAACAAAGAAUGAUUAUAAAGAUUUACUACCAAUGAAUUAACACAAAGCCAAUGGACUAUGAAAAUUCCAAGUGAUUAGCCAAACUUUCAACAAAGAAGAAAGCUCACUUAUUAAAUCUCAUGAAGCAAUAUGCAGUGAAAUACUUAAA